GCUCUUCCCCGCAUGCCCCAGGGCCGGACGGGAGGAAAGCGGGAGACCGCGAGUACGAAGGCGCCGGGGACACCCUCCAGGAAAAGCGGCUAGCGUCAGAGCGCGGGCGGCCCGUACCAAGAACGGACACACGUGGCCUGGGCGAGAAGCCCGAGGCUAGCGAGACAACUGUUGCUAAGGAACUCUGCAAGACUGCUUCGCAAGCUAGCGAGAAGAAGCGCCCGGGGGCGAACAGCCCCGCGGGCCGCAGCGAAGAGGCAGGGGUGACUGUUUACCAAAAACACAGCUCUGUGCGAAGCCGCAAGGCGACGUAUACGGGGUGAUGCCUGCCCGGUGCUGGAAGGUUAAGGGGAGGGGUCAGGCCGCAAGGCCGAAGCCCCGAGCCGAAGCCCCAGUGAACGGCGGCCGUAACUAUAACGGUCCUAAGGUAGCGAAAUUCCUUGUCGGGCAAGUUCCGACGCGCAUGAAUGGUAUAACAAUCCCUGCACUGUCUCGGCAGCAGACUCGGCGAAAUCGUAAUACCGGUGAAGAUGCCGGUUACCCGCGACUAGACGGAAAGACCCCAUAGAGCUUCACUGCAGGUCGGCGCUGGGCUGGCCAGCGGCUCGCACAGGAUAGGAGGAAGGCUUCGAUCCGGGACCCCUGGGCCCCGGGGAGCCGUCGUUGGGAUACCUCCCCUGCCGCUAGCCAUCCCUAACCGGGACCCUGGACGGGCCCCGGGACAGCGCCCGCCGGACAGUUUGACUGGGGCGGUCGCCUCCCAAAGAGUAACGGAGGCGUUCGAAGGUGCCCUCGGCACGGUAGGAAACCGUGCCAUAGAGUGCAAACGCAUAAGGGCGCCUGACUGCAAGGCCGGCAGGCCGAGCAGACGCGAAAGCGGGAGUUAGUGACCCGGCGGUUCCAGCGUGGAAUGGCCGUCGCUUAACGGACAAAAGCUACCUUGGGGAUAACAGGCUGAUCCGGUCCAAGAGUUCACUUCGACGACCGGGUUUGGCACCUCGAUGUCGGCUCAUCGCAUCCUGGAGGGGCAACACCUUCCAAGGGUUUGGCUGUUCGCCAAUCAAAGCGGUACGCGAGCUGGGUUCAAAACGUCGUGAGACAGUUUGGUCCCUAUCUGUCGUGGGCGUGGGAGGACCUAGGGGAUCCCCCCCCAGUACGCAAGGACCGGGGGGGACGAGGCUACGGUGCACCGGUUGGGACGCCAGUCCCACGGCCGGGCAGCCGCCCUCGGGACGGAUAAGCGCUGAGAGCAUCUAAGCGCGAAGCCGGCCCCGGGGUCAGUCCUCCGUUGGACAUGUUCCAUGAAGGGCCCGGGAAAGUACACCCGGUUGAUGGACGCCAGGCGCAGGCACCGCGAGGUGCACAGCCGUGGCGCUCCAAUGGCCCGAGACGCUUGUCGUG
rnacentral:rRNA from 1 species